ensembl:lncRNA
UGUCUGUGUUGGAGGUGUCUGUGUUGGAGGUGUCUGUGUUGGAGGUGUCUGUGUUGGAGGUGUCAGUGUUGGAGGUGUCUGUGUCGUGUAUGUCUGUGUUGGAGGUGUCUGUGUUGGAGGUGUCUGUGUUGGAGGUGUCUGUGUUGGAGGUGUCAGUGUUGGAGGUGUCUGUGUUGGAGGUGUCUGUGUUGGAGGUGUCAGUGUUGGAGGUGUCUGUGUGGUGUAUGUCUGUGUUGGAGGUGUCUGUGUGGUGUAUGUCUGUGUUGGAGGUGUCUGUGUUGGAGGUGUCAGUGUUAGAGGUGUCUGUGUUAGAGGUGUCAGUGUUAGAGGUGUCUGUGUUAGAGGUGUCAGUGUUGGAGGUGUCUGUGUGGUGUAUGUCUGUGUUGGAGGUGUCUGUGUGGUGUAUGUCUGUGUUGGAGGUGUCUGUGUGGGGUAUGUCUGUGUUGGAGGUGUCUGUGUUGGAGGUGUCAGUGUUAGAGGUGUCUGUGUUAGAGGUGUCAGUGUUAGAGGUGUCUGUGUUAGAGGUGUCUGUGUUGGAGGUGUCUGUGUGGUGUAUGUCUGUGUUGGAGGUGUCUGUGUUGGAGGUGUCUGUGUUGGAGGUGUCAGUGUUGGAGGUGUCUGUGUUGGAGGUGUCUGUGUUGGAGGUGUCAGUGUUGGAGGUGUCUGUGUGGUGUAUGUCUGUGUUGGAGGUGUCUGUGUUGGAGGUGUCAGUGUUAGAGGUGUCUGUGUUGGAGGUGUCUGUGUUGGAGGUGUCUGUGUUGGAG